rnacentral:lncRNA from 1 species
AAAGAAAAAAAAUAGUAUAUAAUAGUAAUCAAGAAAUAUAGAAAAAUAAAAAUAAAGAUACUUAUCAUUAUGAUUAAUAAUUAAUGGAAUACAACACGCAUGAUAAGUAAGUUUGUACUGCACAAAAUAUGUGAAUGACAACCACUGCAAGGCAUGUUUUCAUACAUUUCAUUUUUGACCUGUAAACCGCUAAAUCAAAAUAAGAAAAUACAUGUACUGUAAAAACUGUAUCAACAAUAAGACAACUACAUGUAUCCAC